ensembl:lincRNA
AUUCUAAGAGUUUGUGUGCACCGCGGCAAUUAUGUGAUAAUCAUGUCAGGUAGAAGAGAAAAUCAGUUUAUUUUCACAAUCGUCUUGUCCCCACUUUCCAAGACGGUGUCCUAUCCAGUCUCUAAGCUCAGCCUUUAUUCUGAAGUUUUGUACCCAGUGCUCGUUGAAUAACUCACUUUAUGUGGCUUUUUCCUGAGCCGAGUUUUCCCAGUGAGUUGCAGCCGAGGGAUCUGGAGCCGCCCCACACUCAGGGCCGAAGGUGCUCCUGUCACUCUGUGAAGACACAGGGACGGUCGGGGUGCCGUCCUCCAGGGGCGAGGGGCCGAGGGACCAUCUCCGGUGCCCGGCAGGCGGAGACGGGCCGCAGUGACAGCCGCGGUCCCCCCCAGCCCUGACCUCAGCCUCUGCUGCUUUCCGGUCGAACCCAGCCUCUCCAGCUCGCCUGCCUGGUCUUUCUCUCCUGCUCAGACGCAGCGUGAGCCCUAGGGCGACACUUCGUGCCGAAGAGAAGCUCUGGAUGCUUCCGGCCGUCGGGACCGGGGUCGCCUCCAGGAAGAAGGGAUCCCCGGCUCUUGGUGGACUGCACCCCACCACGCCCAGAGACGGCAGAGCAGUGACACGCAAAGCCCCAGCACUGCGGAGAUCGCAAACACAGAGUCGUCCAAAGAAAAAGCCCUCUUCACCGCCUUCCUUCAGACUGUGGAGGCCAGGACAGCUGACAGCUGAGAAUGGGGGUGGCUGUGUCCCUCGUGGCUUCACAGGGGUGCAGUCAGCAAGAUGAGGCAGAGCGGUGCCCACACACGAAGCAGCAGCGGGCCAGUGCCCUUCACCUGAUCAGAGCUCAGGAGAGAUCCUGGAAGGCCCUGGGGCUUUGCUCCCCACCUCCUGCCUCCCAGAGGCACAGGGGCAUGAUUCCAAGCCAGUGGAAGGGAUGGAAUCCUGGGACAUGCCCUUGCCCUCUGCUGGGCCCGUUUCCUCCUUGGUAAAGUGAGGCUGCUAUGCCCACCUUAUAAUUUCUUAUAAUUUUGUCCUGAGCAUAACGCAUGGGACCUGCCUAUGAUCUGCCUCCUCGCCGUCUCCUUGCUUGGCCACACUGAGCUCCUCACUGUUCCCUGAACUCACCAAGCCCCUUCCUACCUCAGGGCCUUUGUAUGUGCAGCACCAUCUACCUGGAAUGUCCUGCCUUCCUAUCUCCCCAGGGCUGGUACCUUCUCAUCUUUUUGGGCUUAAACAUCACCCCCUCAGCGUAGAGAGCACCCCACCAUCCCUCACUCUGCUUUCUUCUUCCUAACAAAGGGAUGCAGGCUUCUCACUCUUUUUCUUCUUUGUGUUGUUCUUGACACCACAGGCAGACUUUAUCUGUCUGAUUGACAGUGCGCUCCCAGAGCUCAGCAGUGUCCAGUAAACAGUAGGUGCUUAAGAAACAACGGCUUCCCUCGCUUCAUUCUUUGCCAGCUCCAAGUCAGCUGGGAGUUGUUUUCCACCUCUCUGGUCCCCCAUUCCCCCUGGAGGACACAGCAGGCACUGGACAUGGGUUACUUGAAAGACUCAGGUAGUUUGAAAUCCGAAGACGUGAGGCUCAUGGUGUCCCUGGGCAGCGGGUAGGUGGGGACUCCAGAAGCCUUUGGUGCAGACGCCCUGUCCCUACCACCUGCCCUCCUUCGCCUCAGGUUUGUGGGCUCGCUCUGGGCAGAUCUCCAGAGCCAUCCCCACCCCCGCACACCUGUCAGCACCCUUGGGGGAAAGAAUCUGGAAAGGGGAGGAAGAAGAAGAAAAGAAAGCAGGGUGCAAAGGGACGGCCCCAACACCUGUGUAAAUAAUUUGUCAUCUUAAGACGCAUCAAGUACACUCACCUUUAGUGCCCGGUCCUUGGGCUUGUUUUCCUUGGCAAGGCCUCCACAGGAGUGGAAUUUCGGCCAAAGGGACCCAAUUGUCGUCUUCUAAGCAUGUUCCCGGGCCAGGGGCCGGGAAAGGCUCUGGCUGACUCUCCACUUCCGUCCGCAGAAGUACCGGAAGGUUCCUGGGAUUUAGGAGCAGCCUCCAGCUCUGGAAGCUGUCCCAGAAUUCUGGAAUGCUGGAAUUUAAACAGCCACCAUCCCAUUUUGCAGAGGAGGAGUAUGAGGCCCAGAGGGGAAGGGAUUGGCCUGUAGUCACAUGACGUGUGAGGCGAACUAGUUCGCUGGUGGAAGGGGACACUGUGGACCCCUUCAUUUCCUGCAGCCCUUGAGGUUUGGGGGAUGCCCAGGCCUCCUGUCUCCAGGGGCGCACAUGUUUUGCUGUAGUGAUUGGGUCAGGAGUGGUCAUGUGACUAAGUUUGCGCAAUGAGAUUCUACCGUGGGGCUUUGGUGCUGGGAUGUUUGAGGAGAUGCCGUUUCCCUUCAGGUUGACGGUGAGCAAGGGAAAACUGCUCAAGAAACCAGCUCAGAGCUGGACAGGGUCUGCAUGCCUGGAUCCAGCCAUACCUGAGAUCACACACUCUUGGCCUAUCUAGUUUCAUAAGCCACUACAUUUCCUGUUUUUGGCAGGAAAGAGUUUGGCCUGGGUUUUUAUCGCUUGCACACAGAAGUUUCUGACUGACCCAUGGCACAGGGGAAGGGGAGAGAUUGCAGGUAGAGGAAAUAGCCUGACAGGGAACACAAAGCAACCAUUUCCAGGGAGGUGUCCCGAAGCAGGGAGAAGAGGAAGAGCUUAGGAAUCUGGCAGGUGGCCGGGGUGGGAGAAAGCACAUGGAACCACAACGUGAAGGUUUGGAAGGGUGAUCGCACGCUGGAAGGCUGUGUCCCAGACUUGUGCAGGGUGACAGAGGACACUGGUGAAAACGGCACCGAGCCCACCGCUGCCCGACAACCACAGCUCAGUGAUGCGCCUCUGUCUAGAGCCGAGCCUGUCCUACCCCCGGCCCUGGCUGAGGCCUCACAGUGCCAUCCUGGACCCCUACAUAUGCUCCUUAUUCGGUCCUGGGCACCAUGAGUGCCACACAGAAUCACUUCAGGGUCCCCCGACACAGUGUAAGAUCGAUCCGGGUCCUGUAGCAGGAAUAAUUCCUGCGGCAAAUCUAUAGCCAUCGUAGUACUUGCUAAACUCUGCUGUGAAAAGAGCAGCCCCAGGCUUGGUCCCCUCGGUGUGCCUGGCUGAUUUCUAGCACCCUGUGCAGAUCUGCAGGAGCUCAGAGCCGGGCAAUCCACAGGCAAACCACAGAGCCACUUUCCCCAGACCCCUGCUCUCAGAGCCCCACCUUCAGAAUCCCCGUAUGGGUUUCAGGUGUUCAGUCUUUCUCUCUGGUCUGUUUUCUGUUACUAUAAAUUUGCUUUUCCAGAGCAGCAGCUGUGGGAAUCUCAGCGUGUUGAGCCUGGUUCCUCCUCCACAGGAUGGUUUUGAGGUGGGUACACACCACUGUGUGUGUCACUAGAUGGCUCUUUUUCAUCGCCACGUAGUACUCCAUUGUAUGGAUGGGCCACAGUGUGUGUAUCCAGACCCUCGCUGAGGGAUAUUUAGGCUGUUUCCAGUUGUUUUUUGCAAUUAUGAAUGAAG